rnacentral:snRNA from 1 species
GAAUGAGUCUGAGAAGAUUAGCAUGGCCUCUGAACAACGAUGAUAUGCAAAUUUGUGAAGUAUUCCAUAUAUAU